rnacentral:rRNA from 15 species
AGGUAGGGAUACCCGCUGAACUUAAGCAUAUCAAUAAGCGGAGGAAAAGAAACCAACAGGGAUUGCUCUAGUAACGGCGAGUGAAGCAGCAAUAGCUCAAAUUUGAAAUCUGGCGUCUUCGACGUCCGAGUUGUAAUUUGUAGAGGAUGCUUCUGAGUGGCCACCGACCUAAGUUCCUUGGAACAGGACGUCAUAGAGGGUGAGAAUCCCGUAUGCGGUCGGAAAGGCGCUCUAUACGUAGCUCCUUCGACGAGUCGAGUUGUUUGGGAAUGCAGCUCUAAAUGGGAGGUAAAUUUCUUCUAAAGCUAAAUAUUGGCCAGAGACCGAUAGCGCACAAGUAGAGUGAUCGAAAGAUGAAAAGCACUUUGGAAAGAGAGUUAAAAAGCACGUGAAAUUGUUAAAAGGGAAGGGAUUGCAACCAGAC